UUGUUUAGGUAAAGAUGUAGGAUGGAUUGCAAGCUCCCUAUUUAUUGCCAGAGUCUUUUUUGGAUUGCUUUGGGGAUAUUUAUUGGACAAGAUGGAUCCUAAAACAGUUUUAUUGAUUUCAGGAAUAUUUCAAACUAUUUCGACAGUUUUGUUUGGAUUUAGUACCUCCUUUUAUUGGACUUUAGUAACAAGGUUUAUGCAAGGUGUUUUUAAAGUUGCUGGCUUAGCUGCUAAAGUUAUUGUAAUACACAACACAAAUGAUACUAAUAUAGCAGUUGCAUUUGCAAUACUUUUUAAUUCAGAAGCUUUGGGUAAUAUAGUUGGUCCCAGU
rnacentral:lncRNA from 1 species